GCGCAGCAGGUGAUGGAAUCCUCUUCUCAAGCUGCUGUUUCUGCUCUGGAGCCACCAGCGGUUCCUGGGGUGCCGUCAGGUGAGUCAUGUCUUCCUGCGCUGGCUGGGGCGUCUGCGCUAAGCGGGUUGAUGUCGGGUUUGCGGGAUCUCCUCACUCAGUGGGAGCGGUGUGCGCUGGCUCAGGGGUUGGACAGUCAGCUG